UACGUAGGGGGCUAGCGUUGUCCGGAAUCAUUGGGCGUAAAGCGCGUGUAGGCGGCCCGGUAAGUCCGCUGUGAAAGUCGGGGGCUCAACCCUCGGAAGCCGGUGGAUACUGUCGGGCUAGAGUGCGGAAGAGGCGAGUGGAAUUCCUGGUGUAGCGGUGAAAUGCGCAGAUAUCAGGAGGAACACCAAUUGCGAAGGCAGCUCGCUGGGACGUGACUGACGCUGAGACGCGAAAGCGUGGGGAGCAAACAGG
rnacentral:rRNA from 1 species